GACUAAAUAGUGGCAGUAUCGUAGCCAAUGAGGUUUAUCCGAGGCGCGAUUAUUGCUAAAUAAAACUUUUACUAGAAAACUUUUACUAGACUUUUACUAGAAGUAUUGCUUUUUUAUUCUUGAAAGCUACUUUUAG